AGUGAACGCUGGCGGUAGGCCUAACACAUGCAAGUCGAACGGCAGCACAGUAAGAGCUUGCUCUUACGGGUGGCGAGUGGCGGACGGGUGAGGAAUACAUCUGAAUCUACUUUUUCGUGGGGGAUAACGUAGGGAAACUUACGCUAAUACCGCAUACGACCUACGGGUGAAAGCAGGGGAUCUUCGGACCUUGCGCGAUUGAAUGAGCCGAUGCCGGAUUAGCUAGUUGGCGGGGUAAAGGCCCACCAAGGCGACGAUCCGUAGCUGGUCUGAGAGGAUGAUCAGCCACACUGGAACUGAGACACGGUCCAGACUCCUACGGGAGGCAGCAGUGGGGAAUAUUGGACAAUGGGCGCAAGCCUGAUCCAGCCAUACCGCGUGGGUGAAGAAGGCCUUCGGGUUGUAAAGCCCUUUUGUUGGGAAAGAAAAGCAGCAGGUUAAUACCCCGCUGUUCUGACGGUACCCAAAGAAUAAGCACCGGCUAACUUCGUG
rnacentral:rRNA from 1 species